GUUAGCCCCAGCACUGACCUGCUAGCCAUAUAACAGAUCUUCCCAUUGCACUUCUCUGUUAGCAUUAACACUGAUCUGAAAGCCAUAGUAAUCGACUGACCCUAGCCAAAACACCUGCAGCCUUAGCAUUGAGUCUCAAUACUAGUCUGCUAGAAUUUGUAUUUGUUCUAGCAGACUCAGGGUUUAUGGGAGGGCGUUCUGCUUGAUGUGCUACCGUGAGGCGAGCAUGAUUGUAUGUUUAUCACAUGUAGAGCAUGUGCUUGGUGCUGCUCAGAGCUAGUGAAAAUAAAGUAAUGUUAUAAAGUCAUUCUACUGUUAUAAAGUCGUUAUACUGUUAUAUUCUACUGUUAUAAAGUCAUUCUACUGUUAUAAAGUCAUGUUAUAAGGUAAUUCUACUGUUAUAAAGUCAUUUUAUAAGGUCAUUUUACUGGUAUAAUUUCAUUAUACUUUUAUAAAGCCAUUCUACUGUUAUAAAGGCAUGUUAUAACGUCAUUAAACUGUUAUAUUCUACUGUUAUAAAGUCAUUAUAAAGUCAUUCUACUGUUAUAAGGUAAUUCUACUGUUAUAUUCUACUGUUAUCAAGUAAUUAUACUGUUAUAAAAUCAUUAUAUUAAUAUAAGGUGAUUCUACCGUUAUUAAGUAGGAUUCUACUGUUGUAUUCUAAAGUUAUAAAGUCAUUCUGCUGUUAAAAAGUCAUUAUAAAGUCGUUCUUCUCUUAGAAAGUCAUGUUAUAACGUCAUUCUACUGUCAAAGUUGUUGCAUGUUGC
ensembl:lncRNA